rnacentral:lncRNA from 1 species
UACAACCUAUUUAAAACGUUGUUGAUGUGCCGAUGUCAAAAAACCUUAUUCAUAAACGCACAUUAACGCUAAACAGUGCAUCAUCUCUUGUGUAAAUCCUCGAAAUUUUAAAAUGAGCCCGACCCCAGUUUAACGGGAUUUUAGCGCUAUAAUACAAGAUGGCCGCCUCACAUCAGCUGGCUUUUGACAGCAACUCAUGAACUGAUAUGAACCCUCUGAGACGAGUGUUUGUUGCCUGUUCUUACAUUUUCUCAGAAAAAUGUAUUAUGUUUAAUUAAAUUGACAAGCUAAAAUUAUUAUGAAGUGGCGCAAAACCAAAAUAAUAUGUGUUGUGUGCAAUGCGGUCUACUUAUAUACCUAAAUUGAAGGAGGUAACUGACUUUUGAUCGUGUCAAAGAAAAAGUGCAUAUAUAUAGGGAAAUAUUUCAGAGGCGAGGUGGUAGAAAUAGGUAAAAAUGUUGUCUGGCAGUAAUGAAACUUUUAAUGAAGCGAUGACCUAUGCUGGCAUGUUACUGGAAAAGUUGUGUCUAAUUUGGCCAUCAAGUGAAGAAAAGUCAUCACAGUUUGCUGCCUCCCUCUGCUGGCUCGGUCCCAAGCUGAAGAUGGAAUUGUCAGAAUCUGAAAAAGACACAUCAGACAUAAAUAAAAUAGUUUUAA